CAGUAGCCGCGGUAAUACGAAGGGGGCUAGCGUUGUUCGGAAUUACUGGGCGUAAAGGGCGCGUAGGCGGCCAUUCAAGUUAGAUGUGAAAGCCCUGGGCUCAACCUAGGAAUUGCAUUUGAUACUGUUUGGCUUGAGUUCGGGAGAGGUGAGUGGAAUUCCCAGUGUAGAGGUGAAAUUCGUAGAGAUCGGGAGGAACAUCAGUGGCGAAGGCGGCCAUCUGGGACAACACUGACGCUGAGGCACGAAAGCGUGGGGAGCAAACAGGAUUAGAGACCCGAGUAGUCCCUGUCUCUUAUAC
rnacentral:rRNA from 1 species